AUUGAACGCUGGCGGCAUGCCUAACACAUGCAAGUCGAACGGAGGUAGGGGCAACUCUACUUCAGUGGCGGACGGGUGAGGAAUGCGUCGGAAUCUACCCUAUGGUGGGGGAUAACACAGGGAAACUUGUGCUAAUACCGCAUGAUGUCGAGAGACCAAAGCAGGGGACCGCAAGGCCUUGCGCGAUAGGAUGAGCCGACGCCCGAUUAGCUAGUUGGUAGGGUAAUGGCCUACCAAGGCGACGAUCGGUAGCUGGUCUGAGAGGAUGAUCAGCCACACUGGGACUGAGACACGGCCCAGACUCCUACGGGAGGCAGCAGUGGGGAAUAUUGGACAAUGGGCGAAAGCCUGAUCCAGCCAUGCCGCGUGAGUGAUGAAGGCCUUAGGGUUGUAAAGCUCUUUCAGUGGGGAAGAUAAUGACGGUACCCACAGAAGAAGCCCCGGCUAACUUCGUGCCAGCAGCCGCGGUAAUGUCGAUA
rnacentral:rRNA from 1 species